rnacentral:rRNA from 1 species
CACGUAGUUAGCCGGGGCUUCUUAGUCAGGUACCGUCAUUUUCUUCCCUGCUGAUAGAGCUUUACAUACCGAAAUACUUCUUCACUCACGCGGCGUCGCUGCAUCAGGGUUUCCCCCAUUGUGCAAUAUUCCCCACUGCUGCCUCCCGUAGGAGUUUGGGCCGUGUCUCAGUCCCAAUGUGGCCGUUCACCUUCUCAGGCCGGCUACUGAUCGUCGCUUUGGUAGGCCGUUACCCUGCCCAACUGGCUAAUCAGACGCGGGUCCAUCUCACACCGAUAAAUCUUUUCCGGCCGGAUCAUGCGAUCCUUCCGGCUUAUGCGGUAUUAGCGGUCGUUUCCAACUGUUAUCCCCCUGUGUGAGGCAGGUUACCCACGCGUUACUCACCCGUCCGCCACUCAGUCAAAGGAGACUUCCUCCGAAGAUUCGUUCUCCAGUGCUUCGUUCGACUUGCAUGUGUUAAGCACGCCGCCAGCGUUCAUCCUGAGCCAGGAUCAAAACUCU